CCAGAGAAUUUAGCAGAGAUGCUUUAGUGCCUUCGGGAACUCUGAGACAGGUGCUGCAUGGCUGUCGUCAGCUCGUGUUGUGAAAUGUUGGGUUAAGUCCCGCAACGAGCGCAACCCUUUAUCCUUUGUUGCCAGCACGUAAUGGUGGGAACUCAAAGGAGACUGCCGGUGAUAAACCGGAGGAAGGUGGGGAUGACGUCAAGUCAUCAUGGCCCUUACGAGUAGGGCUACACACGUGCUACAAUGGCGCAUACAAAGAGAAGCGAUCUCGCGAGAGCAAGCGGACCUCAUAAAGUGCGUCGUAGUCCGGAUUGGAGUCUGCAACUCGACUCCAUGAAGUCGGAAUCGCUAGUAAUCGUAAAUCAGAAUGUUACGGUGAAUACGUUCCCGGGCCUUGUACACACCGCCCGUCACACCAUGGGAGUGGGUUGCAAAAGAAGUAGAUAGCUUAACCUUCGGGAGGGCGUUUACCACUUUGUGAUUCAUGACUGGGGUGAAGUCGUAACAAGGUAAGCGUAGUGCU
rnacentral:rRNA from 1 species